AGGACGAACGCUGGCGGCGUGCUUAACACAUGCAAGUCGAGCGGAAAGGCUUCCUUCGGGAAGUACUCGAGCGGCGAACGGGUGAGUAACACGUGGAUAACCAACCUCUUGCACUGGAAUACCCCGGGGAAACUCGGAUCAAUGCCAGAUAAAGUGCGGUGCUGCAGGGUGCCGUACCAAAGAUAGCUUCGGCCUUCGGCGAGAGACGGGUCCGCGGCCCAUUAGCUUGUUGGCGGGGUAAAGGCCCACCAAGGCUACGAUGGGUAGCUGGUCUGAGAGGAUGAUCAGCCACAUUGGGACUGAGACACGGCCCAAACUCCUACGGGAGGCAGCAGUGGGGAAUAUUGGACAAUGGGCGCAAGCCUGAUCCAGCCAUGCCGCGUGAGUGAUGAAGGCCCUAGGGUUGUAAAGCUCUUUUGUGCGGGAAGAUAAUGACGGUACCGCAAGAAUAAGCCCGGCUAACUUCGUGCCAGCAGCCGCGGU
rnacentral:rRNA from 1 species